UUAUCGGAGAGUUUGAUCCUGGCUCAGGACGAACGCUGGCGGCGUGCCUAAUACAUGCAAGUCGAGCGGACAGAUGGGAGCUUGCUCCCUGAUGUUAGCGGCGGACGGGUGAGUAACACGUGGGUAACCUGCCUGUAAGACUGGGAUAACUCCGGGAAACCGGGGCUAAUACCGGAUGGUUGUUUGAACCGCAUGGUUCAAACAUAAAGGUGGCUUCGGCUACCACUUACAGAUGGACCCGCGGCGCAUUAGCUAGUUGGUGAGGUAAUGGCUCACCAAGGCAACGAUGCGUAGCCGACCUGAGAGGGUGAUCGGCCACACUGGGACUGAGACACGGCCCAGACUCCUACGGAGGCAGCAGUAGGAAUCUUCCGCAAUGGACGAAAGUCUGACGGAGCAACGCCGCGUGAGUGAUGAAGGUUUUCGGAUCGUAAAGCUCUGUUGUUAGGGAAGAACAAGUACCGUUCGAAUAGGGCGGUACCUUGACGGUACCUAACCAGAAAGCCACGGCUAACUACGUGCCAGCAGCCGCGGUAAUACGUAGGUGGCAAGCGUUGUCCGGAAUUAUUGGGCGUAAAGGGCUCGCAGGCGGUUUCUUAAGUCUGAUGUGAAAGCCCCCGGCUCAACCGGGGAGGGUCAUUGGAAACUGGGGAACUUGAGUGCAGAAGAGGAGAGUGGAAUUCCACGUGUAGCGGUGAAAUGCGUAGAGAUGUGGAGGAACACCAGUGGCGAAGGCGACUCUCUGGUCUGUAACUGACGCUGAGGAGCGAAAGCGUGGGGAGCGAACAGGAUUAGAUACCCUGGUAGUCCACGCCGUAAACGAUGAGUGCUAAGUGUUAGGGUUUCCGCCCUUAGUGCUGCAGCUAACGCAUUAAGCACUCCGCCUGGGGAGUACGGUCGCAAGACUGAAACUCAAAGGAAUUGACGGGGGCCCGCACAAGCGGUGGAGCAUGUGGUUUAAUUCGAAGCAACGCGAAGAACCUUACCAGGUCUUGACAUCCUCUGACAAUCCUAGAGAUAGGACGUUCCUUCGGGGCAGAGUGACAGGUGGUGCAUGGUUGUCGUCAGCUCGUGUCGUGAGAUGUUGGGUUAAGUCCCGCAACGAGCGCAACCCUUGAUCUUAGUUGCCAGCAUUCAGUUGGGCACUCUAAGGUGACUGCCGGUGACAAACCGGAGGAAGGUGGGAUGACGUCAAAUCAUCAUGCCCCUUAUGACCUGGGCUACACACGCUACAAUGGACAGAACAAAGGGCAGCGAAACCGCGAGGUUAAGCCAAUCCCACAAAUCUGUUCUCAGUUCGGAUCGCAGUCUGCAACUCGACUGCGUGAAGCUGGAAUCGCUAGUAAUCGCGGAUCAGCAUGCCGCGGUGAAUACGUUCCCGGCCUUGUACACACCGCCCGUCACACCACGAGAGUUUGUAACACCCGAAGUCGGUGAGGUAACCUUUUAGGAGCCAGCCGCCGAAGGUGGGACAGAUGAUUGGGGUGAAGUCGUAACAAGGUAGCCGUAUCGGAAGGUGCGGCUGGAUCACCUCCUUUCUA
rnacentral:rRNA from 1 species